CCAACUCACCACAUUGCUUUUACAUUGAAGUUGUUGAUUUGCCUGAAACAUUUUGGCUCCUGGCUCCUGUGAACUAACCUGUGGACUUACCUUCUUGGCUUCAAACCUGCUCCAUACCAACCUGCUCCAGACUUGCCUGAGCAAUCCUGCAUUGCUGCUUGACUUCUAAUCUGCACAAUACCAACCUGACCUUCACAACUAUCCAGCUUUAUCCUGCCAUCCUGAUUUAUACCUGCUUAAUCCAUACAACCUCUCUGCUCUAUACCUGCCUGCAUAACACCACUCUGGACUUUGCCUCAAAGUAAUAUUACAUGCUAUGUUCCUGCUUGAGCAAUACUCCUUCAAAUAGGGGGUUUAGUAACUAAAGUUCUCAUUUUCCUGUAAUCCUGCUACCUUAUUGUUCUGUUUUAUUU